CGGUGAGUGAUGGAGGAGGAUAUAUACAGCUGUGUACUCGACCAGCGGGUGAGAGGUGGUAAAUCCUCCCCGAGCUGGCACUGCUCUCCAGCCUGGGAUGUUGAUGGGAGCCAGUUGAACACUAACCAAACAUGGUAUGCCUCCCUUUCAAACCAGCAGCUGCCACAAAUGUUCCAGCUAACAUCAGAAUAGUGGAUGAAGCCCACACUAAAAUGUUGUGGAAGGUCCUGGCAACAAAGAGCUGCAGGAAAAUACUUGCAGA